CGCCUGCGAGGCCUAGAGAAGGCGCGUUGCUUUAAAUUACACCACCAACAACUUCUUGAAGGGAACGGUCUGCUGCUCUGCAACCAGGCUUUAGGCUCGAGUGGCAGGCCUGGACGAAGACCCUCAUCGGUAGGAAAAACUAGGUGGGCCACAGAAGGCAAUUGCUGGAAGCUCAGGCCUGGGACAAUGCAUUUUGACUUGACGGUCGGUGAGGUUGAGCAUGCGAGACAGCUGCAGGCGCUUCUCUUUGUUGAUGU